UGAGGAAUAUUGGUCAAUGGGCGCAAGCCCGAACCAGCCAUGCCGCGUGCAGGAUGAAGCAUCUAUGGUGUGUAAACUGCUUUUGUACGGGAAGAAACCACCCCUCGUGAGGGGUAUUGACGGUACCGUAAGAACAAGGAUCGGCUAACUCCGUGCCAGCAGCCGCGGUAAUACGGAGGAACCAAGCGUUAUUCGGAAUCAUUGGGUUUGAAGGGUCCGUAGGCGGGUCCGUAAGUCAGUGGUGAAAUCUCCCCGCUCAACGGGGAAACUGCCAUUGAUACUGCAGGUCGUGAAUGAUUGGGAAGUAACUAGAAUAUGUAGUGUAGCGGUGAAAUGCUUAGAUAUUACAUGGAAUACCAAUUGCGAAGGCAGGUUACUACUUGUGGAUUGACGCUGAUGGACGAAAGCGUGGGGAGCGAACA
rnacentral:rRNA from 1 species